AGAAAUCUGAUCAUGCAAUGUCUGCAAAUGGUUACAUUCUGUACCAAAGAACAAAGCCUAUCAAUGUACACGACAGUUUACCAAUCCAGGUGUGGAUAACCAUUCCGUGCAUAACGAAUUAUUAACAAUCAUGUCACUGGUUUAAAGAAGUACAACAGCUAAAACAUAAACACGAAAAUGUAGUCAAACCAGUCACUUAACAUGAGCGUGAAGUUGUGAGCUGUGUCUUCUCGCUGAAGGUAAUUCGCUUUGAAGUUAGAUGCAGCCACCCAACAGAAUGGAUUCAAUUUCCUCCUGAGUAACUGGUGUUCUUUUUGGUUGAUCAGAAGCCUUCCCUGCGACAGACAUGCUAGGUGGGGACCUUGAGAAAAAUGUUCGAGGAGUUUCUUCAGCUGAUGGAGUUUUCUGAUGUUGGGAAUUCUGCGAUGUGGUACCAGAAUGCUUUGAAUGCCUCUGUGGAAACUUGAUUCGUGGAAUUCUCUUCAUUGCCUGCGCUCCACCCAUUGCUUUCUUCUUCGAUUGUAAGAGGAAAAAAAAAUCGA
rnacentral:misc_RNA from 1 species